GACGAACGCUGGCGGCGUGCUUAACACAUGCAAGUCGAACGGAAAGGUCCUGCUUUUGUGGGGUGCUCGAGUGGCGAACGGGUGAGUAACACGUGAGUAACCUGUCCUUGACUUUGGGAUAACCUCAGGCAACUUGGGCUAAUACCGGAUAGGAGCUCCUGCUGCUUGGUGGGGGUUGGUCAGUUUCGGCGGUUGGGGAUGGACGCGCGGCUUAUCAGCUUGUUGGUGGGGUAGUGGCUGAGCAAGGCUUUGAACGGUAGCCGGCCUGGGAGGGGGACCGGCCACGCUAGAACUGGAAUGCGGCACAGACUCCAACGGGAGGGAACGGUGGAGAAGGGUACAUUGCGGGAGGGAGGCAAGUGUAGCAACGCCGCGUGGGGGAAAAGGGGAAGCGGGUAGGAUACCGCUAUUGUCUGAGACGAGACGUUAGUGACGGUAAUGGGUAAAGAAGCACCGGCUAACUACGUG
rnacentral:rRNA from 1 species